GGUCAAUGCCUUUUUAAACUUCCCUUCCCCCAAUAAUGCAGCUCGUAUAAUGGUAAAUGCAGCAGCCUGGAUCCAUGCAGAGCCCCAGCCUGCUGGCAGCAGAGUAAUAAACUGGUAGGUGGCUGCAGUAGAAGAAGGACUUCAGAGUGGUGAUUGGGACCUGAAAAUUCUGCAGAGGGGCAAAUGGAACAUAAAAUAGAAGAUGAAAACCUUUAAAGGGGGAAGAGGAUGGAAGAGAGAUUAAGACUACUGGGAUUUACACUCUGGGUGUUUUCUUUCAGGUUUUCGAAGUAGAAAGUGAUCAUCCUUCUUUACGCUGUGGUCAUCCUGGAUGAAGAUACAUUUGACCAGAUGGACCUCAGGUGGGGCAAUACACAGAAGAAAGAAGCAGCAGCCUCAACUAGUUUGACUGUAGUCAUAUUUUCAUAAUAAAACAUUAUGAAACAAGAAAGAAAGAAAGAAAGAAAGAAAGAAAGAAAGAAAGAAAGAAAGAAAGAAAGAAAGAAAGAAAGAAAGAAAGAAAGAAAGAAAGAAAGAAAGAAAGAAGGAAAGAAAGAAAGAAAGAAAGAAAGAAAGAAAGAAAAAGAGGAAGAAAGGAAGAAAGAAAAAGAAAGAAAGAAAGAAAG
rnacentral:lncRNA from 1 species